CUCAUAUUCGUAAAUGGGAAAACACGCAUUCUCCUAGCCCUGCCUCUGAAAGACGCUUUCGAUCUCAAUAUGCACUUAUCUCUCAAUCUGAUUUGCAUCUACCUCUUAUAGGUGUUGGAAUAUUUUUUAUCGUCCCUAACCACCAUUGAUUCACUAUCGUUUGAUGCUCUUCCAUAACAUUUGGUGUACUGCUUUCCCCUAAUCCUCUUUGCCGCCACAAGGAUGCUGAUUUCAGUAUUCAAAAUGGCGCAUCAAUCAUAAAUUGGAUAUGGAUUUACAUCAGUGUAGUUGCUAAACUCUUUAAAGUUUUGCAAAAUCACAGUGAGAAUCAAGCUUGGGUGUGAGGCUUUUACUCGAUCGAAUCUGAGCUGACAGUAAAAGGGAAGGAGCUGUGGAAUGAUCUUCGUUCAGUAUUGCAGAGUAGUUCACUUGGUUCGGCUGUGGUGAAAUCUUCAUUCGAGAAUGAUCUUUGUUCAGUAUUGUCGGGCUGUUGAAUCAAGCAUUUAAGGUGUUAUACAUUUUUUUCAUCAUUUAGUUUAUUGGAAAAAUUCCAAGUCUCACAUUGGUUAGAGAUAGAACAUAAAAAGAGUUUAUAUAGAGUGACACUCCUCAACUUACUAACCAGUUUUGUAAGGAUGAGUUAGGUCAAACUCUAAUAUAAUUCAAUGUCAAAAACUAAUGUUUGUACUCAAU